rnacentral:rRNA from 1 species
AGUGAACGCUGGCGGUAGGCCUAACACAUGCAAGUCGAACGGCAGCACAGUAAGAGCUUGCUCUUACGGGUGGCGAGUGGCGGACGGGUGAGGAAUACAUCGGAAUCUACUUUUUCGUGGGGGAUAACGUAGGGAAACUUACGCUAAUACCGCAUACGCCCUACGGGUGAAAGCAGGGGAUCUUCGGACCUUGCGCGGUUGAAUGAGCCGAUGUCGGAUUAGCUAGUUGGCGGGGUAAAGGCCCACCAAGGCGACGAUCCGUAGCUGGUCUGAGAGGAUGAUCAGCCGCACUGGAACUGAGACACGGUCCAGACUCCUACGGGAGGCAGCAGGGGGGAAUAUUGGACAAUGGGCGCAAGCCUGAGCCAGCCGUACCGCGUGGGUGAAGAAGGCCGUCGGGUUGUAAAGCCCUUUUGUUGGGAAAGAAAAGCAGCAGGUUAAUACCGCGGUGUUCUGACGGUACCCAAAGAAUAAGCACCGGCUAACUUCGUG